GAUGAAGAACGUAGCGAAAUGCGAUAAGUAAUGUGAAUUGCAGAAUUCAGUGAAUCAUCGAAUCUUUGAACGCACCUUGCGCUCCUUGGUAUUCCGAGGAGCAUGCCUGUUUGAGUGUCAUUAAUAUAUCAACCUUCACUUGUUGAAUGGUUUGGAUGUGGGGGUUUGCUGGUCUCUUAAAGGGUUCAGCUCCUCUAAAAUGCAUUAGCAGAACAAUCUGUUCAUUGGUGUGAUAACUAUCUACGCUCUUGAAUAAGAUGCAGUUCAGCUUUCUAACUGUCCUUGGACAAUUUAUCAUUUAUGUGACCUCAAAUCAGGUAGGACUACCCGCUGAACUUAAGCAUAUCAAUAAGCGGAGGA
rnacentral:misc_RNA from 1 species